rnacentral:rRNA from 1 species
AAAGCGUGCGCAGGCGGUUUUGUAAGUCUGUCGUGAAAUCCCCGGGCUCAACCUGGGAAUGGCGAUGGAGACUGCAAGGCUAGAGUUUGGCAGAGGGGGGUAGAAUUCCACGUGUAGCAGUGAAAUGCGUAGAUAUGUGGAGGAACACCGAUGGCGAAGGCAGCCCCCUGGGUCAAGACUGACGCUCAUGCACGAAAGCGUGGGGAGCAAACAGGAUUAGAUACCCUAGU